UACGGAGGGUGCAAGCGUUAAUCGGAAUUACUGGGCGUAAAGCGUGCGCAGGCGGUUUGUUAAGUCUGCUGUGAAAUCCCCGAGCUCAACUUGGGAAUUGCAGUGGAUACUGGCAAGCUAGAGUAUGGUAGAGGAAGGUGGAAUUCCCGGUGUAGCAGUGAAAUGCGUAGAGAUCGGGAGGAACACCAGUGGCGAAGGCGGCCUUCUGGACCAAUACUGACGCUCAUGCACGAAAGCGUGGGGAGCAAGCAGG
rnacentral:rRNA from 1 species